UCUAGAUCCCACCCUGUUGCACCCUCUGGCUGUGAUGGCUGGCAUUGUAGCAGAUGUUGUAAGUCUGAAAAAUGAAGUUCUUGUGGCAAAACAGAUGCUGCUCAAAAAAUGUUCAAAGGAAACAGACCUGUCCACUGUGUGUAAACUCCUGCAGGAGUACAAGGAAGCUUUUCCUGAGUUGCAUAAAUUGUAUGUAACAGCCCUGGUAAUUCAUGUGUCUUCAGCAUCGUGUGAGAGUUCCUUCUCCACUUUGUCACAGGUCAUAACCCCCUAUCGUCGCACCAUGUUACAUAAAAGAAAGAGGAAUUUGGUGAUCUUGGCCCAUGAGAGGUCCAUAACAAAUAACUUGGAUAUGGAUGAAUUUGUAAGAGUUUUUGCAAAGGGAAACAGGAGACUGUUGUUGUAGAGUGGAUUGAGGAGAAAGGUGAGUGGAGCUGUUCAGUUGCAAACAGAGAGUUCAGUUGCUUGCAAAACAAACAAGCUUAAAACAAGACAAAAAGACAAAAAAAGAAGAAAAAAGUUAAAAUGUUCUGUUCUAAAUCUGUUGUGUUCUACAAAUUAGUUUGAGAAUUGUAGGAAAAGAUAUGGUGAAUUGUUUUUUUUUAAUUACUAUGCCAACCCUUUUUAGUUUUGUAAAUAUUGGCUAUAUUGAGAGGUCUUAUUUUAUUCUUACUUUAUUUUGCAAAUUUAUUUGAGAAUUAGGCCAUCCAAUUAAGAUAAAUUUUAUGUUGUUAGUUGUAAAGAUCUGGAUGGAUAUUUUAUUUUAUUCUUUAUUUUAUUUUAUUUUUUUAUUCUAUUUUUCAGUUUUAUUUUUCAAGACUUGGUGAAUUGAUUUUUUUUUUUAUAACUUGGCCUACCCUUUUUAGUUUUGUUAAUAUUGGCAAUAGUGAGAAGUGUUAUUGUUGGGUUCAAAUAUAUUUGAUAUAGGCCAUCCAAUUAAGGAAUAAUUUAUUUUAUUUUUUUUUUGUUUUAUUUUUCAGUUUUCCUCCUGAGGGAUUGCCACCUUAUCGUGGUCAGAUGGUUUGCGUGCCUCAGUAACCCUAAGAGCUACACCAGCAGAAGCUUAGCCUUCAGGUGGGACACCCAAGUUGGACAGGUCUUAGGGGUAGAGGCCUGACAAAGUGCAAUCCAAUUACAUGACAAAAACAGUUAUCCAGAGCACCCC